rnacentral:rRNA from 1 species
AGCACCGAAUCCUUCACCAUCUCGGUGACAGGAAAUGUGGUGUUUAGGUCGUACCUUGUCCCGAUACGUUUCUCCUCAAGUCCACUUGAUUGUGGCCCCAGGCCCAGAGAGGGUGUAAGGCCCGUGGAGGCGAGACGUUCGGUACCUGGUGUGUCCUUAGAGUCGGGUUGUUUGGGAAUGCAGCCCUAAGCGGGUGGUAAACUCCAUCCAAGGCUAAAUACCAGCACGAGUCCGAUAGCGAAGAAGUACCGCGAGGGAAGGUUGAAAAGAACUUUGAAGAGAGAGUUCAAGAGUACGUGAAACCGCUGAGAGGCAAACUGGUGGAACUGAAAUGGUCCCGAGGAAUUCAGCCGUUGGUCGUUGCACAGUCUUUGGUGAUUGAUUUAACGACAGCGCCAUUGAAUGACGUUCCGAUCAUCGGUGCACUUUCCUCGUCCGGGCCCGACCACGACCGGUGAGCUGAUCUGUCUGUCGUGCUUGGAAGAUAGCGCCAUCUUCGGAAGGCGUGUUAUAGACUUGCAUACGGAGCAGUCGGCGCACUGGAUGAAAGUGCCUGCCCCUGUGGGCUCAUAUGGCGGUUGUUUUGUUGGCGAGUUCCGAUGUCACUACUUCGGUAGAGUCGUUGGACUGUGUCGGCCCUACGACUGUCCUCUAUGAUUGGCACUGUUAAGUCUGUGGUUGUGAAGUAGGUAGUCCACCUGACCCGUCUUGAAACACGGACCAAGGAGUCUAACAUGUGCGCGAGUCAUUGGGUUCACGAAACCUAAAGGCGCAGUGAAGGUAAAGAUCUGUUUUGGCAGAUUGAGGUGGGAUGCUGGGUUACGCGCCCAGCCGCACUACCGGCCCGUUCUAUAUGUAUCUCAUAGGAGCGGAGCAAGAGCGUACACGUUGGGACCCGAAAGAUGGUGAACUAUGCUUGCG